UUGGGCUACCAACGUCACUGGUUCGGCCGGCUAAAAUUCCCACGUCUCCCAGCACACCGUGUCCUCACACCCACAGGGCCUGCCCCACACUGGCCCACUGACACGCCUGGCCUCACCUGUGGCUGACUCAGCCACCGGCCCCCACACCACUCCUAUCACCCCAACAGCCACCCAGUGCCCCAGAUUGGUGCCAUCUGAACGACUCCCGGGCUCCACACUGGCCUAAGCAAGACCUCUGCGCUCCCUGAGACAUCCUCUGUCAUCCUCUCAGAUCCUCCCACACUCUCCUCUUGUCUCCUUCCAUCUUUAUUAGUGUACCUCACCGUUAUCCUUGAAACCCCAUUUCUGCCCCUGGCUUCUCAGGUCUCUCCCAGACUCUCCGCUAAGGCCCGAAUCUGAGUGUUGGAGCAUCAUCACCUCCAUCCACCCUAGAUAUUCGGGGCUGGGCUGUCAUUUCUAACUGCUGGAGAAGAGAACCCUGGAGGCUGCGAGGACAGGCAGGCGGAGUGUGGCAGAGGUCUAGGAGGCACAGGCGGUGACAUGGUGUCCAGGGUGCUCAGAAGCACAAGGAAACAGGUACAGAAUAACUUUUCCUGGCCAGGCCCUGUCUAGGCAAAGUUCCUGCUUUCCUAACUGCCUUGAGGGACGUCCUUCAUCCCACCAUUGCGUCCUCAUGUCUCCUCAGCAAAGCCUUGCGGAGGCCGCCGAGCCACACCCCAGCGGGUUCAGAGACAAAGAUGGCGUGAAGGUGCCCAAGCUCUGCGAAGACUCGAUGAGACCUGAGGAGACAUGGGGGAGGGAGAAGAGGAAAAGGGCCGAAAAGGGACCACGCUCCUCCUCCUCCCAAUUGCACUGCAACAGUGUGGGGCAAGCAGCAGUUCCAGCAAUCAAUCCCAGCCCCGGGAGAGGACCCUUCCGUCCAGGGACACGCAGCGGGCUGCUACAAGUCUGAGGGCGACUCCUCCUGACCCUGCUGCCGCCCGCCCACCCUGCUAUUUUGCUGGCCAGAAAGGAAGAACAGAACCUCUACCUUCCUCGUGGAUGGAAACGCUCUCCAGUCCCCCUCCUGCGGCAGGAGGAGGCAGCACUUUCUACUUACCUCUGCUGCCAGAAGCUGAGACGGGAGAUUCUCCGGGAGAAAGAGCCGGAAGCUAGGGCAGAGGGCAGAGGAGAAGAGGCCCCUGUGAGUCUCCUUCUCCCUCUCUGGUUCUGCCCAUUCCUACCACACUGUGCCUCUCGGCUCUUUUCUCACUGCUCUGUCAGGUCUGGAUCUUGAUUUAGCCAAACAUUACCAUCACUGGAAGAGCUGGGCCUUCCACACGGAUGUUUUCAUCUACCUGCACCGGAUAGCUCUGUUGCCUAAGAGCUAGCAGGAGAGACCCCAGGUGGGGAUCUGCAGGAGCCAGGUAGGCUGGCAGAGGGGAGCUGGCCACAGUGCAGAUACAGCCCAAGCCUGGCCCAGGGGCCUGGUCCCCGCUCCCUCCAGGUCCAGGCAUUCUGGCAUUGAGGCUUCAGUGAGCUGUCCACAGCCUAACUCUUUCCAGAAAAUGCCAAUACCCUGCCCGUCCAUGUGCACCAGGCCUAGGCAGGCAGGAGAGGCC
ensembl:lincRNA